rfam:Sus scrofa chromosome 5.
AUCCUGGUGGUCUAGUGGUUAAGGACUCAGCACUGUCACUGCUGUGGCUCAGGUUACUGUUGUGGCACAGGUUCCUGUUGUGGCACAGGUUCGAUCCCUGGCUGGGGAA